UGGGGAAUCUUGGACAAUGGGCGCAAGCCUGAUCCAGCCAUGCCGCGUGAGUGAAGAAGGCCUUCGGGUUGUAAAGCUCUUUUGUCAGGGACGAUAAUGACGGUACCUGAAGAAUAAGCCCCGGCAAACUUCGUGCCAGCAGCCGCGGUAAUACGAAGGGGGCUAGCGUUGUUCGGAAUUACUGGGCGUAAAGCGCACGUAGGCUGACAUUUAAGUCAGGGGUGAAAUCCCGAGGCUCAACCUCGGAACUGCCCUUGAUACUGGGUGUCUCGAGUCCGGAAGAGGUUAGUGGAAUUCCCAGUGUAGAGGUGAAAUUCGUAGAUAUUGGGAAGAACACCAGUGGCGAAGGCGGCUAACUGGUCCGGUACUGACGCUGAGGUGCGAAAGCGUGGGGAGCAAA
rnacentral:rRNA from 1 species